rnacentral:lncRNA from 1 species
GGAGAUUCAGCAAGAAGGAUGGAAGAAUCUGAGCUCUAUUUUAGAAUCUCCCGCAGAGAAGAAGCCCAGGGACGGAAAUAGGCUCCUAAAGAACGCACUGUCAUUGUCUUUCCCAGAUUGUUCUACUCAACUUGUUGUUUUGCCUUUCUGGUUAGUUGUUCCUUCAAAUUAUUGGAGUCUAAGUUGUUUUGGUGGUAAAUAUUGUAGAUUAUGAAAAUUGAUAUUUUUGACUCAGAUAACACUUUCAAAUAUCUUUUAACUUUUGGAGCCUGAGUUGUUUCAGAAUGGUUUAGUCUUUUGAGUUGUUUCAGAAUGGUUUAGUCUUUUGAGGUGCAUGUUGAAUUUUUAGUCGAAUAUCUUGAUGGAUCAAUAGCUAAUCGUUGAAAUUCAACAUAAUUCUGAUUGGGGAAAAAAUGAAUAGUAUCAUAGUUUUUCCAAAAUUAAUGAACUGUUUGAAAUUCAACAUAAUUCUGAUUGGGGAAAAAAGAAUAGUAUCAUAGUUUUUCCAAAAUUAAUGAACUGUUUGGAGGCGAUUCUUUUCGCUGGAAUUCAAAUGGACUAUUUUCAUAUAUUUUUAUCUGAUAUCAUCAAAGUUCAGAAAUACUUUUGAGGAAGAUGGUUGGUAAGAAAGGGAUGUACUAAGAUCAGAUAAGUUCACUAUCAGCAAACUCUUCAGCUAAAAAGAGCUUACCAGAAGGUUGAUUGGGCAAGGCUGAUUUGCAACAAAUAGGCCCUCCUAAAUGGUCAACUUAUCUUAUAUCUCACUGUUUGUAGCAGGUUGUUUACAAAGGAAAGGUUAGCCAAAUGAUGGCGUUUGGAGGAGGAGAAGUGUGCACUAUGCAGCAAAGAUAAUGAGUAUGUUGCACAUCUCUUCUUUAUGUCCCCUUAUUUAGCACAAGUCUGGAAUACCAUCUAAUAUAGCUGCAGAUUCAUAGACAAGCUCAAGGAUGGAUCUGGGAUGAAUUAGGCAAUUAUAAACUUCAAAGAUCGAAGUUUACAUGCUGAAGUUUUUAGAAUGACAUUAGUUGCGGGAGUUAAUAUUGAGAAAAAGGAAUUAGAGGAUCUUCCAAACAGAGAACAGAACAGAAGGCUUCAAGUCCUCAUUAUGUUGUUAAUUCAAGAUCCUCAUACUAGAGGAGUUAGUGAAAGCAACAUUAUUUAGAAUGUUAUUGGUUAUUUGGUCAUAUUUCAUUGUUAAAUUUGAAAAAAAAAUAAAAAAAUUUGAUUUCAAAGUGAAAAAUGAUAUAUGAAAAUUGGAAUUGUGUUUGAUCAUGAAUAUAAAUUGGAGUUUAUUCAUAAAUUAAAGUUAUUUUUGACUUUUUGUGAGUAAUUGGAGCG